rnacentral:rRNA from 1 species
GACGAACGCUGGCGGCGUGCUUAACACAUGCAAGUCGAACGGAAAGGCCCUGCUUUUGUGGGGUGCUCGAGUGGCGAACGGGUGAGUAACACGUGAGUAACCUGCCCUUGACUUUGGGAUAACUUCAGGAAACUGGGGCUAAUACCGGAUAGGAGCUCCUGCUGCAUGGUGGGGGUUGGAAAGUUUCGGCGGUUGGGGAUGGACUCGCGGCUUAUCAGCUUGUUGGUGGGGUAGUGGCUUACCAAGGCUUUGACGGGUAGCCGGCCUGAGAGGGUGACCGGCCACAUUGGGACUGAGAUACGGCCCAUACUCCUACGGGAGGCAGCAGUGGGGAAUAUUGCACAAUGGGCGGAAGCCUGAUGCAGCAACGCCGCGUGCUGGAUGACGGCCUUCGGGUUGUAAACCGCUUUCGCCUGUGACGAAGCGUGAGUGACGGUAAUGGGUAAAGAAGCACGGGCUAACUACGUG